rnacentral:tRNA from 1 species
GGGGCUGUAGCUCAGUGGCAGAGUGCUUGCCUAGUAUGCUAAGGUACUGGGUUCCAUCCUCAGCACCACA